rnacentral:rRNA from 1 species
AUUGAACGUUGGCGGCAUGCUUAACACAUGCAAGUCGAACGCGAACGGGCUUCGGCCCAAGUAGAGUGGCGGACGGGUGAGUAAUGCGUGGGAAUCUACCCUCGAGCGGGGGACAACCCGGGGAAACCCGGGCUAAUACCGCAUACGUCCUACGGGAGAAAGCGGGCCUCUACACUAUGCUCGCACUCGAGGAUGAGCCCACGUCCGAUUAGCUAGUUGGUAGGGUAACGGCCUACCAAGGCCACGAUCGGUAGCUGGUCUGAGAGGAUGAUCAGCCACACUGGGACUGAGACACGGCCCAGACUCCUACGGGAGGCAGCAGUGGGGAAUAUUGGACAAUGGGCGCAAGCCUGAUCCAGCAAUGCCGCGUGUGUGAAGAAGGCCUGCGGGUUGUAAAGCACUUUCAGUGGGGAAGAACGGAUACGGGCCAAUACCCCGCAUCACUGACGUUACCCACAGAAGAAGCACCGGCUAACUCCGUGCCAGCAGCCGCGGUAAU